rnacentral:rRNA from 1 species
CAGAGAGAGACAUGCGCGCAUAUCAAUAAGCGGAGGAAAAGAAACUAACUAGGAUUCCCUCAGUAACGGCGAGUGAAGCGGGAAGAGCUCAAAUUUGAAAUCUUCAAGGUUCUACCUUGACGAAUUGUAGUUUAAAGAAGUGUUUUCUGUUGGAGUUUUGGUAAAAGUUCUUUGGAAUAGGACAUCAUAGAGGGUGAGAAUCCCGUAUUUGACCAUUAUUUCCAGCUUUGUGAUACACUUUCAAAGAGUCGGAUUGUUUGGGAAUGCAGUCCAAAAUGGGUGGUAAAUUUCAUCUAAAGCUAAAUACUGGCGAGAGACCGAUAGCGAACAAGUACCGUGAGGGAAAGAUGAAAAGAACUUUGAAAAGAGAGUUAAACAGUACGUGAAAUUGUCAAAAGGGAAGCGUUUGACACCAGUGUUGUUUUCUCGAAAAUCAAUUAAAAAGAGCUAGAUUUUGUGUUGUAUUGACCUUUAAUCAGCUUUCUGCACUCAAUUUUCUUGUCUUUUUUAAUGCACUUUUCGUUUAACAAGUCAACAUCAAUUUCUUUUGUUGUAAAAGGGUCAUUGGAAGGUGGCUUUCUUUUCGGAGAAAGUGUUUAUAGCCUUUGGCCUCUGCAAUCGGAGAGGUUGAGGUCUGCAGCGUAGAUCCUUCGGGGUUAGAUACAUUUGUGCUAAGUUAUAGCCUUUCAUAGACAACUUGUUGACUAUGAUCAGUCAUGUAGCUUACUCGCUUAUGCUAUUUUACCUACGCUUAGGAUGUUGAUGUGAUACUGCGAGCA